rnacentral:rRNA from 1 species
GAAUAUUGGACAAUGGGCGAAAGCCUGAUCCAGCCAUGCCGCGUGGGUGAAGAAGGCCUUCGGGUUGUAAAGCCCUUUUGUUGGGGAAGAAAUCCUGCUGGCUAAUACCUGGCGGGGCUGACGGUACCCAAAGAAUCAGCACCGGCUAACUUCGUGCCAGCAGCCGCGGUAAUACGAAGGGUGCAAGCGUUACUCGGAAUUACUGGGCGUAAAGCGUGCGUAGGUGGUGGCUUAAGUCCGUUGUGAAAGCCCUGGGCUCAACCUGGGAGUUGCAGUGGAUACUGGGUCACUAGAGCGUGGUAGAGGGUGGCGGAAUUCCCGGUGUAGCAGUGAAAUACGUAGAGAUCGGGAGGAACACCCGUGGCGAAGGCGGCCACCUGGGCCAACACUGACACUGAGGCACGAAAGCGUGGGGAGCAAACAG